rnacentral:rRNA from 1 species
UACAGGGGGGGCAAGCGUUGUUCGGAAUUACUGGGCGUAAAGGGUCUGUAGGUGGCUUGCUAAGUCAGACGUGAAAUCCCUCAGCUUAACUGGGGAACUGCGUCUGAUACUGGCAAGCUUGAGUGCAGGAGAGGAACGCGGAAUUCCAGGUGUAGCGGUGAAAUGCGUAGAUAUCUGGAGGAACACCGGUGGCGAAGGCGGCGUUCUGGACUGCAACUGACACUGAGAGACGAAAGCCAGGGGAGCAAACGGG